GGGGAUGUGGCUCAGUGGGUAGAGCGCUUGCUUCUCAUGCCCAAGGCCCUGGGUUCAAUCCCCAGCACCACGG
rnacentral:tRNA from 1 species